GGAUGGUGGUGUCCGACUCGUUCCGCGGGGUGGGCCGCUGGCGACAGCACUGGCACCUGGACCCGGACUGGGUGCGGCUGCCCGGCGCCGCCCU
rnacentral:tRNA from 1 species